UUGUGAAGUUUGGUCUCAUGCCUGGGGUUAGGGUCAUUCAUAGCAAGCUUGUGUCCAGUUCUGUAGAAAGCAGGAAACUGCGGCCACCCCAAGCUGCAGUGAACGUCUGUUAUUCGGGAGCAUGGCCAGACCCAACAGAUGGAAGCUGUGAGGAGACCAAUUUAGACUUGACUGAAGUUUAUCUUGAGCAGUGUUCCUCACUAAAGGAAGAUGGAGUAUCCUGCCCCCAGAGGAGGCAGCAGCCACGUCUCCUCUAGGGAGAAAUCCAUCCAGAUCAGUCUGGUUUGGAGGGCACCAUCGGGCACACUUCCCCAAGGGCCAGCCAGCACACGUGCGCAUCUGCGGGGCCCUCUUCUGAUCCAGAUCCAUUUAGAAUUCGUAAGAGGAACGUUGGCCGAGCUGACCCAUUCAUCUGGAAUUCCAGGAAGGCAAAGCCCUAUUUAUACGCCCCACGUGUCCCAAGAGGUUGUAUGUCCAAGCAAUCCUCCUAAAGUCAUCUCCAUUGUCCCUGUACCCAGUGCUAACUGUAAUCUGGCACCUGUAAUUCUGAUGGCUGUAGAAGGUACAAGCUGAAGAAACCGCCUGAAGGUAACACACUUCCGUUUCAAACCAGCUUUGAAGUCGUCAGCCCAAGGACUCUUGGACUGUCUGAAAUACUGGGAAGGAGCACACAACAAUCCUGCCUCUUUCCAGAAAUCGUUCCACUGGAAAUUAUCAUUUUUCACAGGAGAUAUUCUUGAUUGUCCUUCUUGACAGUCUAAUGAUUUUAAUGUUUUCCCUAUGAUAAGCCUUUUCUGGUAUUUUCUCAAUAAUGGCAGUGGACAAAGCAUGGUUCUCUCCCAGGGUCCAUUUGACAUAGGAAUUCAGUGUACCACUGCCAAUGUUUCAGAGCCCAAGCAUAGAGCCCAGGCCUCACGUUUUUUACAGCGUUGUUGAGGUAUAAUUGACAUACAAUAAACUUCAUAUAUUUAAAGUGUA